GUCUACGCCCAUGCCACCCUGAAUUCGCGGGAUCCCAUCUGAUCUCGGAAGCAAAGCAGGGUCGGGCCUGGUGAGUACUUGGAUGGGAGACCACCUAGGAAGACCAGGUGCUGUAGGUG
ensembl:rRNA 5S_rRNA 5S ribosomal RNA